rnacentral:rRNA from 1 species
UACGGAGGAUCCGAGCGUUAUCCGGAUUUAUUGGGUUUAAAGGGUGCGUAGGCGGGUUAUCAAGUCAGCGGUAAAAUCGUGGAGCUCAACUCCAUCCAGCCGUUGAAACUGAUGAUCUUGAGUGGGCGAGAAGUAUGCGGAAUUCCUAGUGUAGCGGUGAAAUGCGUAGAUAUUAGGAAGAACACCAGUGGCAAGGCGGAUGACUGGACGACAACUGACGGUGAGGCGCGAAAGCGUGGGGAGCAAACAGG